UACAGAGGUGGCGAGCGUUAUUCGGAAUUAUUGGCGUAAAGGGCGCGUAGGCGGCCUAAGCAAGUCCUGGGUGAAAUCCCUCGGCUCAACCGAGGAACUGCCUCGGAAACUGCAUGCGUCGAGGCCGGGAGAGGGUAGCGGAAUUCCCAGUGUAACGGUGAAAUGCGUAGAUAUUGGGAGGAACACCGGUGGCGAAGGCGGCUACCUGGACGGUUCUGACGCUGAUGCGCGAAAGGCGUGG
rnacentral:rRNA from 1 species